GUUUUCUCAUGAGAAAACGACCUUAUUUCUUCUUCCGCAACCUAUUCUGAUAAAGAGUGGCCAAGAGACAUAGGAAGGCAAACAUUAUUCCAACAAAACACGAUAUUUCCAGUAUCCGCCACACAAUGAUGUCUUGAUGAUGGGAGCUUCUGGAAUAAAGAUUGGACAGCCUUGUCCAACCACCUUGGUACAUUUAGUUUGGCUGUUUUUUAUUGCAGGUACUAUUGUAUCAGCAAAUUGUCCCCCGAAUGAAUACCGACAUGGAAUUGAAUGUUGCCCUGAAUGUCCAUCUGGAAUGCGUGUGUCCGAGGACUGUAGAGCGGAUAAAAUGACUUCCUGUAAGCUGUGCAGUGAAGGUACUUUCCACAAUGGCUAUAAUAAGCGUAAAGAAUGUGAUCCCUGUACAGACUGU